AGAGAGAGAAUUGAAUUACUCAAUAUGGUAGAGAAAAUUUUGGUCAAGAGUGAAAUUUUUAUAUCUAAGUUCGACCAUCUUUGGAAAAAAAACACAUUUGUCUGAAAAGUGUGUUAGUUGGGUUUUGGCUAAAUUCUAACUGGUUUACAUGGUAGUUAGAAAUGCAGGCGGUCUGAUUAUCCAUGAAAUUCGGAAAACACUCCAAACUUGGGACAAACUUUAUGGUGGUCUUUCGGAGAGAAGUCUACUAUAAAACAGGUGCAAUUCUACCGACCAGAUCAGCUGAUAGGGUUUAUCAAAAAAAA
rnacentral:sRNA from 1 species